rnacentral:rRNA from 1 species
AGAGUUUGAUCAUGGCUCAGAUUGAACGCUGGCGGCAUGCCUUACACAUGCAAGUCGAACGGCAGCACGGGAGCAAUCCUGGUGGCGAGUGGCGAACGGGUGAGUAAUAUAUCGGAACGUGCCCAGUCGUGGGGGAUAACGUAGAGAAAUUUACGCUAAUACCGCAUACGAUCUAAGGAUGAAAGCGGGGGAUCGCAAGACCUCGCGCGAUUGGAGCGGCUGAUAUCAGAUUAGGUUGUUGGUGAGGUAAAAGCUCACCAAGCCGACGAUCUGUAGCUGGUUUGAGAGAACGACCAGCCACACUGGGACUGAGACACGGCCCAGACUCCUACGGGAGGCAGCAGUGGGGAAUUUUGGACAAUGGGCGAAAGCCUGAUCCAGCAAUGCCGCGUGCAGGAAGAAGGCCUUCGGGUUGUAAACUGCUUUUGUACGGAACGAAAAGGUCUGCCCUAAUACGGCGGGCUCAUGACGGUACCGUAAGAAUAAGCACCGGCUAACUACGUGCCAGCAGCCGCGGUAAUACGUAGGGUGCGAGCGUUAAUCGGAAUUACUGGGCGUAAAGCGUGCGCAGGCGGUUAUAUAAGACAGUUGUGAAAUCCCCGGGCUCAACCUGGGAAUUGCAUCUGUGACUGUAUAGCUAGAGUACGGUAGAGGGGGAUGGAAUUCCGCGUGUAGCAGUGAAAUGCGUAGAUAUGCGGAG